rnacentral:sRNA from 1 species
GCUGGGCACAGUGGCGCAUGUCUGUAAUCUCAGCAGUGAGAAGCUGAGGCAGGAGAAUCGAAAGUUCAAACCCAGCCUCAG